rnacentral:rRNA from 1 species
GAUGAACGCUGGCGGCGUGCCUAAUACAUGCAAGUCGAGCGAACAGACGAGGAGCUUGCUCCUCUGGCGUUAGCGGCGGGCGGGUGAGUAACACGUGGAUAACCUACCUAUAAGACUGGGAUACUUCGGGAAACCGGAGCUAAUACCGGACAAUAUAUUGAACCGCAUGGUUCAAUAGUGAAAGACGGUUUUGCUGUCACUUAUAGAUGGAUCCGCGCCGCAUUAGCUAGUUGGUUAGGUAACGGCUUACCAAGGCAACGAUGCGUAGCCGACCUGAGAGGGUGAGCGGCCACACUGGAACUGAGACACGGUCCAGACUCCUACGGGAGGCAGCAGUAGGGAAUCUUCCGCAAUGGGCGAAAGCCUGACGGAGCAACGCCGCGUGAGUGAUGAAGGUCUUCGGAUCGUAAAACUCUGUUAUUAGGGAAGAACAAAUGUGUAAGUAACUAUGCACGUCUUGACGGUACCUAAUCAGAAAGCCACGGCUAACUACGUG